ACACUGUGGAGCGCAACUAUAGCAUCACCUAGGUAUAUUUUAAAUGCUUAACCACGUCUCCUAACACUUUCUGACGCCUCUUGACAACUAACACGAAACACCUAACAAACCCUGAUAGCACCUGCCAACUCUCAGGGGCUGUAGUAUGCGGAUAUGCAGCUACAGUACGGGUUUAGCGAUCCCGAGGUACCCGAGCUAUUACGGGGGCUAGCAGAUCCCCAAGGCAAAGUUAAGAAGAAUGGAAAUAAGUAUUGCAAAAAGCAUAUUAUACUCAGUGCAAUAACUAUACCAAAAUAGUUAGCCACUUAAAUAAAUUACAAGACACAAGCACCUGACACCCCGUGACAGCACCUAGCAGUUAAACAAUGUUGCAAAUCGCUCAGCUCAAAACUUCAACAAAGUUGCGUCUAUAAAAUUCGACAAAAUAUGAGCCAAUCCACAUACGUUUCCUAAUAUUCAUGGUCAGAGCAGUGCACGUUUAAAGUUCUCAGGUGUUUGCCGACUUUACGAAAGUGGUAAAAUGAAAAAAGAAAAUGAUUUUUUCCGAGGCGACAAACCAGAAUGCCCCCCUAAUUCGCACCAACACCAGAUCGAUGCGUAAUGCAACCGAAUAAAAGGAGAAAACGAUGCCGGGUUGCGGUCAGCUGAGUCUGGCACCGAAACAAGAUACGCCUGGGACUUAAAAUAAACAAACAGUAAUGCCGCGAACCGAUAGAAUCUGGAACACGAUCGAAGCCCGAUCUGCGAUCGAUUCUGAUUUGUUCGAUAGAGAUGCGCGCUCUUCGGGAGUGCAAUUGCACAUCAAUUACAACUGACGAUAAGUAAGAGAGUAUUUGAUAUACUGCGUAUCAAUAUUAUACGAACACUUGUUAAAACAAGAAUUUGUUUAGAUCUCAUAUCAACUUCAUUUCAUUGCUUGAAGUUUACCUUGUUCAGAAGUAAUUCAGAAGUAAAUUGAGAUUACUGGAAAACCUAACUCGAAGGGAAACGCAAGGGCGGCCGAAUGGACGCGCAGAAGCGUGAAUCACGACGCCACAUGUGCUAGCCUCGCAUCGAAAUCCCCGGAGAUGUCCUAUGCGCCAAGAAAAACGCAACGCUGCACAGUGGUUUGAAAUCACACAAACCUGGCCAAGAAUAGAAAGAGUCAACAGAUAAAUAGACUAUAAGCCAAGAUAAAUACAAUUUUCAUCCAGAUUCAAGUUUUAAGAAGAACGAAGGAAACUGGCAGUGGCACACCAUCCGUGAACGAUACGAGCACUCGAAGGAUCUUCCUGGACACGAUCGAAGCGGUAGAGAAACGCGCAAGCGAGGAUCGGCGACGUUCGCGCACUUGGAGGACUUAAGACCGAGUCGACGCGUUCGUAAUUCCACAGCGCGGGUAAAACGGGACCGAUUCAAAUCGCAGAAGCAAUUGACUGCAAUUGCUUGUAGGAGAUGUUAGAUCGUCGAGUAGGAUCGUCGGAAACGAUAACGUAAUAGAGCGAACGAGUGAUCGCGAACAGCAACGGUCCUGGCGCAUGGUUUCCAACGGCAUGGGGACUUCGGACACGACUGAUCGAGUGACCGAGGGGGUAGCAUUGUAAGAAUACCCCUCCUCGUGCGCUUGUAUAGAAUUACGUGUGUGCCCGUUGAUCGCGCAUAGAGCAAGCUCUCCGUCCCCUUGGUUCGAGCAAAAGGGAGAACUAGAAGGGAGAAGAGUGGCUCUACCGUUCUCUCUUCCCCCCUCUUGUGGUGACUCUCUCUGCCCCGCGUGUUACGCCGCUCCUUUCACCGUGUUUCUACCCACCCCUUUGACUGUAUAACCAUGGACUGCUAGUCCCUCCUACUUUUCUCAUUCCCAUGUUAAAGGCAUAUGGUUCGGUGUUCCUACAUCUCGACGAGAUAGGCUGCGCUCCUCGGCCCAAAAGGGCGGACAAUUCAAAUCGGAAGAAAGCAUUUAAAUUUUGAAGUUGAACAGUUUCUGUUUCUUGGAUAUAAAAAUCCGUUAAUUAUAUAUCUUGUGUUGAUUGUUUUACACAAAUGAGUGUAACAUUGAGUGUACAUAGAGAAUUCAUUUGCGAAAGUGUUGCUUGCGAAUGUACGACAAGGAUUUUGAAAGAGAUCAUGUGACCCAACUUGGCACGUUUAAUUUUAAAUAUCUUUUCUGUCGCAGUUAUAAUAUUAACAGUGUCGACUCAAGGUUGCUGAUAUCACCAUUCAUUCGAUCAUUGCGCACGGAUUUUAGUUCGUGAGAUUCACGAUGGAUUCGUGGAUAGACGUGUCGCCACUAGAUGUGGCGUCAGCUCUGAAGUUAGCAACUAGCAGUCCAUGGUUAUAUAGUCAAAGACUCACCCCUUAGAUUUCUCGUGCCCUGUGCCCCCUCCCCCCUCGUCCUACACGGAUUCCCCUCGACACGUCUCUUUCUCUCUCUCUUGGCGUGCGUGAAUCAUACAUAUCGAUUUUCUUUCGUUUAGUACGCCGUUCGGUAGUUGUUCGCCGCCCGCCACCGCCGCGCGCGUACGCCCGUGGCAAGAAUCCCCCUGCCACCCCUGCCCCCUUGGUCUUCUUUCAGAAAGGCCGGGGGCCGUGCGGACGAACCCCUUUCUGAAAACGCACGACUGCGAACGCAGAAUUCAACACGAGCGCGCAAACCCAACACCACCCGGUGCCCAAUUCUUUCACGCACAAUAGCCCCGUGUCUCCGUUCACCUCGUCGUUUUGCUAUAGUUUUAUCUUCGUAAGGUAAAAUACCGAGUACUCGAACGCACUUCAAAGUACAGUAAAAGUAGUCCGUUUUUCCGAACUUCAGAUAUCAGAACGAAAUUUUCAUCGAUUUCAAUUCAAUUUCAUUUACUUAUAGGGAUACGGAGUCGUUUGCUACACUGCGUAUCAACAUUAUAUAUACACUUGAAUUUUGAGGUUUCAAGGUCUUAAAAGAGUUUUUCAUAAAAACCAAUUAUACUACGAUGUUCAACAUGUCAAUAAACCACUGGACACCUACUUACUAUAUUUCAGUAUGGAAAGAAUUAACGUUACUAUAGUUAAAGUCGAUUUUUAUCUUACCUUGUUUAUACUCGGAAAGUUUAGCUCCAAGUAUCGUUUUAUACAUUAUAUGAAACAAUCACUCAAAUUACUUUAAAUUUAUAAUUCUUGUAUUUAAAGAAAUUGCUUUCAUUUUAAAGCUCAUAACGUCCAGUACGUUCUCUAUGAAUGAAAUACUUUACAAGAGCUCCAAUAUAAAAUAGACUUAUGUCUUGUUCCCAAUACAUUCAUCACAUUUGUUUAGCUUCGUUUGAUGAAAAUUCACACCUUCGAUCAUAUAUUAAUAAUGUACAUUUACUUACUUUUAUGGAAUUUCAAAUUCUCUGGAGAUCACACAAACUUUAUAAACACGCUAUUGUCAAGAACGGUUACUAACGAUACAGUGAAGUCUACUUCACUCCACAAUUCACAUCGGCGAUCGGCUAUAUUCUCUUCAUUACCGAUUGAACAAAUUAUAAAUGUUCGUAUGUUUUUGACAGAAAUCGACUCGGGCUACAGUAACGAUAAUUCUUAGCAUGUUAUAAUCCAAAUGAGUCUUUAAAAGUUUUUUGACACGUUGAAUAUGAUAGUAUCAUAUUAAAAAUAUAGGUGGUGCUAUGGUUAGGCUCCGCAGUGUAGGUGUAGAUAAAGGAUCAAUUAACAGACAAUCCGAUGAUAUUGUUCAAAAUAAGAAAGACAUAAAAAUUAGUUAAAUUAGCAAAUUUGAUUAUAAAGUAGCUGGAAUUAAAAAAAAUCGUAAAAAUGCCUGGAUCUGCUCUUGUCCCACCAUCACGUGACACUCGAAGCCCUCGAAGAACUCCUUCUUUGUCUACGGCGGCUUUUUGCUCGAGCAAAACGUCCCCGUAUGACGCGAAGCAACGAUGAGACGAUGCUCUUGUACCAUGGCAAGCACCCCAGUCCCCCUCCCCCCCCACUCUUGUUUCCUAAUGUCUCGUCGCCCCUUAAUUUUGCAGCACCCCACACUCUUCGGUGAAACCCGGUAAUAAACUCUCUUUGUUUCUGCCCACUCUUUCCUUUCGUCGCGAACCCCCUCUGUUUUCACUGUUUUUUGUCGAUGACAUGGUUAACCUAGUCGAUUCGGGGUAAUUAUCGUUUUUUAAACGGUCACCUUCUGUCCUGUUGCAGUUACAGGAUCGAAUUUCUCGUACGAUCAUCACGUCUAGGAGUGGAACCUGAAACGUUAUGUUGGACUCUUUGACUAUACAUACAGUAUAAACUGCUUAUCCCCCUACUUGUUCCAUGUUGCUUUUCCACUUUUUGCUUCGACUAUUCAAAGCUUGGGAUAAUGCGUAAAGUACAACCUAAAAAAAGUAAUUAUGGCGGUUAAUUCCAUAAUUAACACUGUCCGACAAUAGCAAAUAGCGGCAAUGUAUUUUGGCAGAUCACGUGCCGAGGCUUAGUAGUGCCAUCACACUAUAGCGGAGAUGCUACGCAUCCUUUACUCCUAUAGCGAUGAGAUCAGGCACAGUUUGUUUAAUAGUUAUUUCCUUCUGUUAGUAGGAACAUAAAUGUACUGUGAAUGCACAUAAAUAAUCCAAGGUGGGAUUGGUUAAAAAAUCGAAGAACAUCAAUUAUAAACAGUUGCUUUAAUCAGUAAACGUGAUAGAUAUGGCGCUUUAACACGAUAGAAAUAACUUUAUGUACAGUCGUACGACAUUUACAACAAUUUUACACCGUCGAAGGGUCAACAUCAUCGACAGAGAUAAAUUAAAUUUGACAACCUAUAUAUUUCGUAAGUGAUACCAGAUUAAACAAUUUUACGAAUAAAUAAAUUAGACGCUACGCGGAUGGCACAAACGUGUACGGACGUUUCAACGAAGUAACUAUAGCGCCCGCGAUCAUUAAUGCUAACGAGCGGAUCCAUCAAACCAUCAUUGCAUUCUCGUUUGCGUUAAGUGUCGCGUUGGUCUCUUAAUAUGUAUGCUACGUGUAAAAAGAAGUCGAAAUGCAAAUGGAAUGCGUAGUUCUCAAUACGUGUUCCUACGAGGUAAUUGCGAAAAGGUCGUAACCAUUAUAGUACGUAAUAUCAAGAAGAAUUGAAUCUUAAGAUGAAUUCGAUUAGCGUAUUUUGAAUUAAUUAUAUAAUUGUAUUAUUUGGCCACUGAAUUACUGUGCUUACUUAUUACCGAAUAUACAUAUAAAUCGUAGAGA